rnacentral:rRNA from 1 species
AUUGAACGCUGGCGGCAGGCCUAACACAUGCAAGUCGAGCGGAUGAAGGGAGCUUGCUCCUGGAUUCAGCGGCGGACGGGUGAGUAAUGCCUAGGAAUCUGCCUGGUAGUGGGGGAUAACGUCCGGAAACGGGCGCUAAUACCGCAUACGUCCUGAGGGAGAAAGUGGGGGAUCUUCGGACCUCACGCUAUCAGAUGAGCCUAGGUCGGAUUAGCUAGUUGGUGGGGUAAAGGCCUACCAAGGCGACGAUCCGUAACUGGUCUGAGAGGAUGAUCAGUCACACUGGAACUGAGACACGGUCCAGACUCCUACGGGAGGCAGCAGUGGGGAAUAUUGGACAAUGGGCGAAAGCCUGAUCCAGCCAUGCCGCGUGUGUGGAGAAGGUCUUCGGAUUGUAAAGCACUUUAAGUUGGGAGGAAGGGCAGUAAGUUAAUACCUUGCUGUUUUGACGUUACCAACAGAAUAAGCACGGGCUAACUUCGUG